GACGAACGCUGGCGGCGUGCUUAACACAUGCAAGUCGAACGGAAAGGCCCUGCUUUUGUGGGGUGCUCGAGUGGCGAACGGGUGAGUAACACGUGAGUAACCUGCCCUUGACUUUGGGAUAACUUCAGGAAACUGGGGCUAAUACCGGAUAGGAGCUCCUGCUGCGUGGUGGGGGUUGGAAAGUUUCGGCGGUUGGGGAUGGACUCGCGGCUUACCAGCUUGUUGGUGGGGUAGUGGCUGACCAAGGCUUUGACGGGUAGGCGGCCUGAGAGGGUGACCGGCCACAAUGGGACUGAGAUACGGCCCAGACGCCAACGGGAGGCAGCAGUGGGGAAUAUUGCACAAUGGGCGGGAGCCUGAUGCAGCAACGCCGCGUGCGGGAUGACGGCCUUCGGGUUGUGAACAGCUGUCGCCUGUGACGAAGCGUGAGUGACGGUAAUGGGUAAAGAAGCACCGGCUAACUACGUG
rnacentral:rRNA from 1 species